rnacentral:rRNA from 1 species
UACGUAGGUGACAAGCGUUAUCCGGAUUUACUGGGCGUAAAGGGAGCGUAGGUGGAUAAUUAAGUGGGAUGUGAAAUACCCGGGCUCAACCUGGGUGCUGCAUUCCAAACUGAUUAUCUAGAGUGCGGGAGAGGAGAGUGGAAUUCCUAGUGUAGCGGUGAAAUGCGUAGAGAUUAGGAAGAACACCAGUGGCGAAGGCGACUCUCUGGACCGUAACUGACGCUGAGGCUCGAAAGCGUGGGGAGCAAACAGG